rnacentral:rRNA from 1 species
GGGGAAUUUUCCGCAAUGGGGAAUUUUCCGCAAUGGGCGAAAGCCUGACGGAGCAAUACCGCGUGAGGGAGGAAUGCCUUUGGGUUGUAAACCUCUUUUCUCAGGGAAGAAGAUCUGACGGUACCUGAGGAAUAAGUAUCGGCUAACUCCGUGCCAGCAGCCGCGGUAAUACGGAGGAUGCAAGCGUUAUCCGGAAUCAUUGGGCGUAAAGCGUCCGCAGGUGGUUUCCAAAGUCUGCUGUUAAAGACUGGAGCUCAACUCCGGAACGGCGGUGGAAACUUGGAAACUAGAGUUCGGUAGGGGUAGCAGGAAUUCCCAGUGUAGCGGUGAAAUGCGUAGAUAUUGGGAAGAACAUCGGUGGCGAAGGCGUGCUACUGGACCGUAACUGACACUCAGGGACGAAAGCUAGGGGAGCGAAAGGGAUUAGAUACCCCUGUAGUCCUAGCUGUAAACGAUGGAAACUAGGUGUGGCUUG